UACAGAGGGUGCAAGCGUUGUUCGGAUUUACUGGGCGUAAAGCGUACGCAGACGGACCGUCAAGUCGGGAGUGAAAGCCUUGGGCUCACCCAGGAACGGCUUUCGAUACUAGCGGUCUUGAGUUUGGGAGAGGGAAGCGGAAUUCCUGGUGUAGAGGUGAAAUUCGUAGAUAUCAGGAGGAACACCGGCGGCGAAGGCGGCUUCCUGGCCCAAUACUGACGUUCAGGUACGAAAGCGUGGGUAGCAAACAGG
rnacentral:rRNA from 1 species